AUUGAACGCUGGCGGCGUGCCUAACACAUGCAAGUCGAGCGGCAGCGGGCCCGCAAGGUUGCCGGCGAGCGGCGGACGGGUGAGCAAUACAUAGGAAUCUGCCUCAGAGCGGGGGAUAGCCAGGGGAAACCCUGAUUAAUACCGCAUGAUGUCGAGAGACCAAAGUGGGGGACCGUAAAGCCUCACACCCUGAGAUGAGCCUAUGUCGGAUUAGCUAGUUGGCGGGGUAAUGGCCCACCAAGGCGACGAUCCGUAGCUGGUCUGAGAGGACGAUCAGCCACACCGGAACUGAGACACGGUCCGGACUCCUACGGGAGGCAGCAGUGGGGAAUAUUGGACAAUGGGCGAAAGCCUGAUCCAGCGACGCCGCGUGGGUGAAGAAGGCCUUCGGGUUGUAAAGCCCUUUAAGCCGGGACGAAAAAAUCGGCGAUAACAUCGCCGGUCUUGACGGUACCGGAAGAAUAAGCACCGGCUAACUCUGUGCCAGCAGCCGCAGUAACAC
rnacentral:rRNA from 1 species